AUGGUGCUUUGGCUGUUGGACUUUAAAAUUCACUUUACCUCAGUUAAGAAUCGAACCCUCGACCUAAGGAUUACCAGUCCAGCCUCUUAACCCCUACACUACACUGACACUUGUGAACAUGAGCUCCUGGUGUAUUUGUCAUGGUGCUUUGGCUGUUGGACUUUAAAAUUCACUUUGCCUCAGUUAAGAAUCGAACCCUCGACCGAAGGAUUACCAGUCCAGCCUCUUAACCCCUACACUACACUGACACUUGUGAACAUGAGCUCCUGGUGUAUUUGUCAUGGUGCUUUGGCUGUUGGACUUUAAAAUUCACUUUGCCUCAGUUAAGAAUCGAACUCUCAACCUUCUGACUGCCAGCCCAGCCUCUUAACCACUGCACCACUUGGAUACUUGUGAACAUGAGCUCCGGGUAUAUUUGUCAUGGUGCUUUGACUGUUGAACUUUAAAACUCACCAUGGCACUGAUAAGAAUCAAACCCUCAACCUUCAGACUGCCAGUCCAGCCUCUUAACCCCUGAACCACCUGGACACACUUUUGAAUAUGAGCUCCUGGGAUAUUUGUCAUGGUGCUUUGGCUGUUGGACUUUAAAACUGACCAUGGCACUGAUAAGAAUCAAACCCUCAACCUAGAGAUUGCCAGCAUUUUCACUUUGCUUAAUUAAGUUUUGACAAAGAGGAGAUCUGGGGAAAUGUCUUUUACUAACGUUUGAUUACCACCGACUCGAGGAAAGUGCUGUGGUGUGCAGGUGUAUGACUGGCACCUGAUAUCUCCAGAAUCUGGGACCUGACUCCAUCCUCCAGGAUGACAACGCUCUCCCUGACAGAGCCAGGACCAUCACAGCAGAGUACCUCCAAAAUAAACUUCCCUUGUCUGUG